AUUUCUUUUAUAAUUUCAAUUUUUAGGAAAUCUUUAGAAAAAUGUUUGUUAUUUUCUGUUCCAUACCUAAAUGGAAGGGAGGAUUCUCAUCAGGAUAUUUCUCCUUAAACUCCAAUGGAUUUUCUUGUUAUUUUUGAGUUUCAUGUGACCUUAAAAGGAAUCAGACUGAAUCCUCACAAAGGAGGAAGUUCAUUUAAAGAAAGUAUUUAUUUUUUGAAACCAAUGCUCCAACUUUUGUUAAGUGUAGUUCAAAUUCUGAUUUUCCUCCAGGUGGCAGGUGAGAUCAUAUGGAAUGAAGCAUUUUCAAAUAUAAGCCAAGAUUUCUCACAUCCACGUCAAUCUUAAUAUAGUUUUACCUAACUAUUCUUGGAAGUCCAUGCAUACCAUGAAGCAUUUUCUUCAAACCAAAACAAUCUAGACUUACUUCAAUUACAAGAGGAGUGACCUGCAGAGCAUCCAAGCACGUACAUGAGCAGGACUAUAGAAUGCCUUGUCCAAGCUACUGUUGUAGUGGAGAAAAAGGAGAAGACAGUGCGAAGAAUAAGCAAGGUACUUUCCAUAGAAGAUGCAGGUUAAAUGAACAAAGAGGUAUGGUGAACAUCCCUCGUUUUGGUGGGAAACACAUGGGAGCCUCAUUGCGUCUGGCACACUAUGUCAAGUCAAACACACGAGCUGAAGAAGUGCCUUGCUUUUGCUCAAUUAGGACUGUUUGCUUUGUGGACCUCCAUUAGCAAGUAUAAAUUUGUACAGUGGUCACCAUUUAAAAAUCAAUAUUUACCAAGGGUUAUCACAUCAUCAAGCCUAGGACACUAAGUAGUUCCGUAAACUUUGAGUAGAAAAUAAUACUGCGAUCUGGUAAAUAUUUAACACACGUAUCAUUUUAUGGUAACCACUACUUUUGAUACAGGUGUUCAUUACCUCUUCCUAGCUAAACCCUCCAUUAAAUUACAUUGCACUGGACUUAGGCUUCACUUCAGCCAGAUUUCAGUUAAAGGAAGUGGGAAGAAAAAUACAAUGAAACUGACUUUAUAAUGAAUAUAAUGAAAAUAACUGUAAUGAAUAAUCACUUUAAUUUUUGAUGCCCUCUUAUCCCAAAGCAUAUGAUUCAGCAGGGAUUCUCUGUGGAAGUACUGAAUAGAUGGCUAAAAUAGAUCUAGGUAAAAAGAACUCAGGUUCCUUUUUCCUCUGGGUGUAGUAGGGUAUUUUCUGUUUGGCAAGGAAGGCUCCCCAGUAGCUAGCUACACUGUCCAGUUUCUUUCAGUAUAACCACCCUUCCUUUGAUGUGGAAGUAACAGAUGUUUAAGACAUAAGAAAUUAGAUAGACUGUGAUUACUGAGAAACAAGUUAAUUUCAAUUCAUUACUUGAUGUUCUCAUUCACUUGUUCUGAAAAUGACAGUAGUUAGUAGGGUUGUUGGUUUUUUUAAUUGACAUAUUUUAUGUUUAACAAUCAACUUAAACUUAACCUAUGCACACCUCUAAUUUUGAAACACAUCAUUUGCGAGCUAAUAUGUUACUUUUUCAUCGUAAAUUGGAGUUAUUUCCAAAAUGGCUUCACUUUAAUUAUAUGUACGUGUACAACUUAGCCAGCUUGUUUUCUUGUGGGUAGUAAGAAGAGGUAAGGAGAACACAGGAAGUAACAGAUUAGUUUUUCCUCUUUUCACAAAACAAGUUUCAUUCCCCCUCCAGUUUCCUAAAAAAAGAGGUGUUUCAGAAAAGCCAGAGGAAGGGCU
ensembl:lncRNA